rnacentral:ncRNA from 2 species
AUCGUAUCAAGAGAGCGGCGAAAGAACUGGCUUCGCGACCCGCCGGCAACCCUCCGACCUAACGGCCGAAGAAGGUGCCAAUUCCAGUCCCAUCCGGGAAGAUACUUU